UGAAUUGACGGGGAGCACCACAACAGGUGGAGCCUGCGGUUUAAUCGGACUCAACGCCGGGAAACUCACCAGAUAAGACAGCUGAAUGAUAGUCGGGCUGAAGACUCUACUUGACUAGCUGAGAGGUGGUGCAUGGCCGUCGUCAGUUCGUACUGUGAAGCAUCCUGUUAAGUCAGGCAACGAGCGAGACCCACGCCCACAGUUGCCAGCGUACUCUCCGGAGUGACGGGUACACUGUGGGGACCGCCGCUGCUAAAGCGGAGGAAGGAAUGGGCAACGGUAGGUCAGUAUGCCCCGAAUAUCCCGGGCUACACGCGAGCUACAAUGGUUGGUACAAUGGGUAUCUACCCCGAAAGGGGACGGAAAUCUCCUAAAACCAAUCUUAGUUCGGAUUGAGGGCUGCAACUCGCCCUCAUGAAGCUGGAAUCCGUAGUAAUCGCGUUUCAACAGAACGCGGUGAAUACGUCCCUGCUCCUU
rnacentral:rRNA from 1 species